rnacentral:rRNA from 1 species
CCCUUAGAUGUUCUGGGCCGCACGCGUGCUACACUGAGUGGAUCAGCGGGUCAGGAUGCGCGAAAGCGUUUCCUAAUCUUUAAAUCCGCUCGUGAUGGGGAUUGACGGUUGCAAUUUUCUGUCAUGAACGAGGAAUACCUUGUAAGCGCGGGUCAUCAUCCCGCGCUGAAUACGUCCCUGCCCUUUGUACACACCGCCCGUCGCUCCUACCGAUUGAGUGGUCCGGUGAGGCUUUGGGAUCUGAGCGGAAAGAGCGUUUCGCUGUUUCUGCUCGGAAAACUCAGUCGAACCUUAUCAUUUAGAGGAAGGAGAAGUCGUAACA